GCCAGGUGUGGUAGUGCAUGCCUAGAAGCAGGAUGACUGCUUGAGCCCAGGAGUUCUGGGCUAUAGUGCAGCAUGCCAAUGGGGAGUCUGCACUAAGUGCAGCAUCAAUAUAGUGGCCUCUUGGGAGCGGGGGACCACCAGGUUGCCUGAAAAAAAGGUGAAAAGACUCAGGUCAGAAAUGGAGCCAGUCAAAACUCCCAUGCUGAUCAAUGAUGGGAUCACAACUGUGAAUAGCUACUGUCCUCCAGCCCGGGCAAUGUAAUGAGACCCCAU
ensembl:misc_RNA Metazoa_SRP Metazoan signal recognition particle RNA